GGGGCGGGGCGCGGCGCAUGCGUAGGCGGCGGCCCGCGCGGGAGGCGGAAGCGGGCCGCGGUUUCCGGCUGCGGGCGGAGGCGCCAUGGAGGGGCGCGCGGCGGCGGGGGACGGCCGGAACGGGCCCCGCGAGCGGCGAGGGCCGGGCGCCGCGGCGGCGCCGCAGCAGAACCACCAGGCCCGGCCCGCGGCGGCGGCGGGGCGGCUUCCCGCGCACUCGUACUGGCUGGACCUCUGGCUGUUCGUGCUGGUGGACCUGGCGCUGCUGCUGGUCGUGUACCUGUGGCCGUGAUGGAUUGCCUGGUAUCGACAUCAAGAAGGUGGCUCCUGGACUGAACUCUGAACAUGACUUACAACUUCUUGAACAAAGAGGAUUGUGCAACAGAAGAAUUUCAAACUCUUAAGGGACCUUCAUUCCUUUUACACAUUCCUUACUCUUUGGGGGACUAUAAUAGAUGGGUAGUGACCUCACCCAUUCAUAACUAAGUCCUGAAAACUAGAUUCUUUGAUUCAUGUUUAAUAACUUUCUUCAAAUAGCUGGUGGCUUUUCGGGAGCUGAAUUAAAACAGUUGUACAGAAAGGCUUAGUGUAUUCAUUAAGAACUACAGCAAUGACUCCCUUAACAUUUUAAGGGUUGACCAGGGUUUACAGUAUGAUGCAAUAUUAUAUAUGGUGAAUUAUUAAGGUGAAGUAUCUAAAAUUCCUAGAAAGCAAGGGGAGGAUUUUAGAAAAGAAUUAAAAUCUAUACAGAAAAUGCAGGUCUACAGAUAACUGGCUGUAAGUGUUGUAGAUUGAGUGGGCCUCUCUCUGCCUGGCUGCCAGGCCGCCAUGACCCUGGAGAAGGUAGGUAAUAGCCAGUAGUGGAAAGCUAAUGGGCAGCUCUUCCUGCCCAGUGCUCCCCCUCUUCCUUUUAAGCUCUUGAACUCCUUAAAAUAGGACAGUGUGUUUCAGUCCUUUUAUUUAUUAUUGGGGUUACAUUAAGAAUACUUGUGGCCAAAACACCUUUGUUUUUAUAAUUACUGUAACUUCUGCAAAAUCAGCAUAUUUAUUCAUUCAACAAACAUUUGAGCACUUGUAUGGAUCGGGUACAGCAGUGAACAAAACAAAAAUCACUGCCUCCCUGGAACUCAGCACCUUGGUUUUUAUCUAAAUAAACAAGAAUUUAUGUUCUCGGAGUGCACAGCUGGCACUGGAUGAGAGGGCCGCACUCGCAGGGCAGCUACAACAAACCUUUCAGAUGUGACAGGAUACUCCCGUAUAGAGCCGGGAACAGCCUCUUGUUGAAAUUAGGGAUGUUUGAUGUAUGUGAGUUGCCUACAUUUUGGGGGAUAUGCCCUCUUUCAAAUCAAGGCAUAGAUCUGGUGAACUCUGCGUCCUCUACCGUUCAGGAUGGCACUUGGGGUACAGUGGGAUCUGUCACGUACAGGUUAACAACAGUGCCUCCAGGCACCGUUGAUAUGUCUGAAGAAAACCUCUCGGGCAAAGAUUGUAGCAUCAGAGAAACAAACGUGAAAUUUCCUUGCGUAUCCAAACAUUGUAUGAAUUGUUUCUGUGCUGCUGGCUGGUAAUUUUGUCUAAUAAAGUUUAUUGUGCAGCU